rnacentral:rRNA from 1 species
GACAGAGGAUGCAAGCGUUAUCCGGAAUGAUUGGGCGUAAAGCGUCUGUAGGUGGCUUUUUAAGUCCGCCGUCAAAUCCCCGGGCUCAACCUGGGAACUGCAUUUGUGACUGCAAGGCUAGAGUACGGCAGAGGGGGAUGGAAUUCCGCGUGUAGCAGUGAAAUGCGUAGAGAUGUGGAGGAAUACCGAUGGCGAAGGCAGCCCCCUGGGAUGACACUGACGCUCAUGCACGAAAGCGUGGGGAGCAAACAGG